rnacentral:rRNA from 1 species
AGUGAAAUCGAAAUCGCUGUGAAGAUGCAGUGUACCCGCGGCUAGACGGAAAGACCCCGUGAACCUUUACUGCAGCUUGACACUGAACUUUGACCUUACUUGUGUAGGAUAGGUGGGAGGCUUUGAAGCUGGAACGCUAGUUCCAGUGGAGCCGUCCUUGAAAUACCACCCUGGUAAUGUUGAGGUUCUAACUCUGUCCCGUGAUCCGGGACGAGGACCGUGUCUGGUGGGUAGUUUGACUGGGGCGGUCUCCUCCUAAAGAGUAACGGAGGAGUACGAAGGUGCGCUCAGCGUGGUCGGAAAUCACGCGUAGAGUAUAAAGGCAAAAGCGCGCUUAACUGCGAGACCCACAAGUCGAGCAGGUACGAAAGUAGGUCUUAGUGAUCCGGUGGUUCUGUAUGGAAGGGCCAUCGCUCAACGGAUAAAAGGUACUCUGGGGAUAACAGGCUGAUACCGCCCAAGAGUUCAUAUCGACGGCGGUGUUUGGCACCUCGAUGUCGGCUCAUCUCAUCCUGGGGCUGAAGCAGGUCCCAAGGGUAUGGCUGUUCGCCAUUUAAAGAGGUACGCGAGCUGGGUUUAGAACGUCGUGAGACAGUUCGGUCCCUAUCUACCGUGGGCGCUGGAAAUUUGAGAGGAUCUGCUCCUAGUACGAGAGGACCAGAGUGGACGAACCUCUGGUGUACCGGUUGUGACGCCAGUCGCAUCGCCGGGUAGCUAUGUUCGGAAGGGAUAACCGCUGAAAGCAUCUAAGCGGGAAGCCUACCUCAAGAUAAGAUUUCCCUAG